rnacentral:rRNA from 1 species
UACGUAGGGUGCAAGCGUUGUCCGGAAUUAUUGGGCGUAAAGAGCUCGUAGGCGGUCAGUCGCGUCUGCUGUGAAAACUCGGGGCUUAACUCCGGGCCUGCAGUGGGUACGGGCUGACUAGGGUGCGGUAGGGGAGACUGGAAUUCCUGGUGUAGCGGUGAAAUGCGCAGAUAUCAGGAGGAACACCGGUGGCGAAGGCGGGUCUCUGGGCCGUAACUGACGCUGAGGAGCGAAAGCGUGGGGAGCGAACAGG